AAUAUAAAAAGAAAUAACAAUAAUAAUAAUAAAAAAAUCUAACAAUAAACCCCCUCCCUCCCCCAUGGCUUCCAAACCUGAUGAAUAUUAUUAUACUUUUAUAGUUUAAAUUCCUCUGAAAUCAACAAUUUCUUGUUCAAUUUCUACUUUUUGCGACAUCGAAGAUCUACCGCAGCUGCGAUUUGAAUGCGGUUUCUUGUUGGGGAAAUGGAUCAACUAGUGGACGGUGAAGCAGCGUCGGAUAAUCUGGUUGACGGUAAACGGUUUAUGGCGAAAGAGAGUGGGUUUUUAAUCGAGCAUGGAAGCUCGAAUGUGCAGGAAAUGAUUAUACCCGGUGAUGAUUACAAGGGAAAGAAUGUUGCUAGGGUUGACACAACCGAGCACGCGUGGACCAGCCCUCGCAGUGUGGAUGCAGCAGGGAUGAUGGUUGAAGAGUUAACGGUGAGAAAUUUCGACAGUGGGAACGUGGAGACGGGUGGUUCGGGGUUAAAGGAUAAAAUGCGUAGUUCGAAUAACGUUUGGAACACGUUCUUCCCGGAUGAAAUGAAUAGUUUACAUACACAAGUUGAAAAUCAAAAUGACGUUGCGGACCGUUCACGUUCACGGCAAGAGGAUAAUCAACCUGCUUCGUUGAAUACUUUGUUAUCUCCUAACGGGAUUCGAACAAAGAUUCUUUCUCAAUCAGGGUUUUCUCAGUAUUUUGUGAAAAGUUCGUUGAAGGGAAAAGGUGUCAUAUGCAGUGGCCCGGGCCCAGCUCGUGAAGCGCUUGGCCGUAUUCGUGGUCCGAAUCAUCCACAAGCUGCUUUGGUUAGUUUAAAUUCAACGCCUAGUUCAACUACGGAAACUACUGUUCAUGAAGGUUUGAGUCUGAGAGAAUGGCUUAAAGCGGGUCAGAACAAGGUCGACAAAUCGAAAAACAUGGAUAUAUUCAAGCAGAUUUUGGAUCUGGUGGAUGCAUCUCAUUCUCGUGGAGAACCGUUGCAAGCGUUACGUCCGUCAUGCUUCAAGUUGACGCCACAAAACCACGUCUUGUACAUCGGUUCGCCUGUUAUCGGGAGUAAAGAAGUUUCCAAUUUGGAAAAGAACGGAGAUAAGAAGCGAGAAGGGGAGCACAGUCAUCUUCUCGGUGCUAGCCAAAGCGCAAAAAGACAAAAACAAGGGAACAUGUUUCGUCGGUGGCCUCAGUUUGCGGUACAUUCUGGUUUCAAAGAUUCCGGGUACGGAUUUAACGGACAAAAUAUCCCUACAAGAGAUAAUACGUAUCCAAUCCAAAACAUAUCCAACAGUCAGCACUUAUUUGCUACAUCAAAUAAUAAUACCUAUCCAAUUCAAAACAUGUCGAACAGUCAGCCGUUAUACGCUACACCCCAACUGGUGAAUAAUUUCGUCGGUGAUCCAUUGGAAGAGCAGUGGUACGCCAGUCCAGAGGAUUCCGGAGAGAGGUGCUCUACGUUAUCGUCAAACGUCUACUCUCUAGGCAUUCUUCUAUUUGAGCUACUUGGGUCGUUUGAAUCGGCGAGAGCCCAUGCUAUCGCGAUGAAGGACCUACACCAGCGGAUCCUUCCUCCUAGUUUCAUGUUGGAGAAUCCCAAGGAAACGGGGUUCUGUCUUUGGCUGCUUCAUCCUGAGCCGUCAUUACGCCCGACAACUAGGGCCAUCCUACAGUCCGAGCUUAUAAACGGAAUACAAACAUCAUCUAUGAAACAAAUGUCAACAUCCAUUGAUCAAGAAGAUGCCGAAUCAGAUUUAAUGUUGCAUUUUCUCGCAUCUUUAAAUGAACAAAAGCAGACAUGUGCGGCAAAAUUAGCUGACGAUAUUAAAAGCUUAGAAUCCGACAUUUUAGAGAUAGAGUCACGACAGCCGAGUAAAACUCCGGGGAAGAAGUUAAAAUCGACGACGUUUUCUAGUCUAGGUGGAUCGCGCUUAAUAAACAAUAUAAAUCAUCUUGAACACGCCUACUUUUCCGUGCGAUCCACCAUAGGGAACUCUGACAUGAACGAAUCCGGGGAGCGUGAAGUGUUAAGUAGUCGGGAAAAGAAUAUUGUGAUGAAAAAUACGGAAGCAGGCAAAAAGCCGGCGGAUCGUUUGGGGAUCUUUUUCAACGGUUUGUGCAAAUAUGCUCGUUAUAGUAAGUUUGAAGUACGGGGAGUUUUACGGAAUGGUGAUUUUAGUAGUAUGGGAAAUGUUAUAUGUUCACUUGGUUUUGACCGAGAUGAGGAUUAUUUUGCAACUGCCGGAGUGUCGAAAAAGAUAAAAGUAUAUGAUUUUCAUGCUUUGUUGAAUGAUUCUGUCGACAUUCAUUAUCCAGCUGUUGAGAUGUCCAACAAAUCUCGACUUAGUUCCAUUUGUUGGAAUAGCUAUAUCAGGAAUUAUCUGGCCUCGGCAGACUAUGACGGUGUGGUCAAGAUAUGGGAUGCUGGAACUGGUGAAGCAAUAUCACAUCAUAUUGAGCAUGAAAGGAGGGCGUGGUCAGUUGACUUUUCUCGAGUUGACCCGAUAAAAUUAGCCAGUGGAAGUGAUGAUUGUUCUGUCAAAUUAUGGAGCAUUAAUGAGAAGAAGAGCUUAUCGACAAUCAAAACCGUUGCAAACGUCUGCUGUGUUCAGUUUUCCCCUUACUCCGCUCAUUUAUUGUCUUUGGGGUCAGCUGAUUAUAAAACGUAUUGCUAUGAUCUUAGAAACGCUUCCAAACCGUUGUGUACAUUAUCUGGCCAUGACAGAGCCGUCAGUUAUGUCAAAUUCUUGGAUAGUGGGACCCUCGUUUCUGCAUCAACUGACAACACACUAAAAAUUUGGGACCUCAAUAAAGCUGAUUUUGGCUGCUUAUCGACCAGCAGUUGCGUCUUAACCCUUAAAGGCCAUACUAACGAGAAGAACUUUGUUGGAUUAUCGGUUGCUGACGGAUACAUUGCAUGUGGCUCAGAAACUAAUGAGGUGUUUGCUUAUUAUAGAUCAUUGCCUAUGCCUAUCACGUCUCACAAGUUCGGAUCUAUCGAUCCCGUUUCGGGUAAAGAGACCGAAAGCGAAAGCAAUCAUUUUGUUUCAAGUGUCUGCUGGAGACAAAAAUCCGACAUGGUGGUUGCAGCGAACUCCACCGGUUGUCUGAAACUGUUGCAGAUGGUCUAACAAAGAUGACCUGGCAAUAGAUGAUGUCACGUCACGUCACCACUCCGAAAGUCGUACUCAGGUUCAGCCAUGUGGCAAACGGGUAAUUCUUUGUGCGUACGAACACACGCGUUCCGUGGAAAAGAUCAUGACGAAGUGCAUCUACCGGAAGAUCGGGCAGAUUAACCGCUUGGUAACUGUUUCGGCUCAUUGACCAGUUUUGCGACUUUUGUCCCUGAGGUUUUGCCAGUUUUGCAACUUUCGUCCAAAUGUUUGUUUUUCCGCAUCUGGAUCCAAAAGGUUUGGCUCUUUAUUAGUUCAUGUGCUAAACUUCAUCGUCAUUUGAACUUUAUCGAGCAUCAAAAGUUACAGAUCUUUGAUCAGCAGAUGUCUUAAACCGACUAUUGAUCUUGGGGCGGACGGCAGACUGACAUGUUGUCACUAAAGGUUUGUGUACAUAUCCAUGUUUUCGUCUUCUUAAUUAUGUAUAUAUACCUAGAGCAGUAUAACACUUAAGUUGCGUUGUUGUAAAACAAUCAAAUUUAUAACUCUAUAGUCAUGAAAUAUUUAAAUGAAGUAUUGCAUAUUUGUAUUAUGUUCGCUUA